UACGGGGGGAGCAAGCGUUGUUCGGAUUUACUGGGCGUAAAGGGCGCGUAGGCGGUCGUGACAAGUCACUUGUGAAAUCUCCGGGCUUAACUCGGAACGGUCAAGUGAUACUGUCGUGCUAGAGUACAGAAGGGGCAACUGGAAUUCUCGGUGUAGCGGUGAAAUGCGCAGAUAUCAGGAGGAACACCAGCGGCGAAGGCGGCGCUCUGGGCCGGUACUGACGCUGAGGAGCGAAAGCGUGGGGAGCAAACAGG
rnacentral:rRNA from 1 species